rfam:Populus trichocarpa scaffold_14_contig_83, whole genome shotgun sequence.
CCAUUUUUAUGUGAUAUAUCACUGUUUAGUUGUGACGAAUCCACACAUGACUGUUCAAAAGCACCUAUUACAUCAAGUCCGAGUAGUAUUCAACCACAUCUAACCCUUCUUAUUGACCAUACUAAAAAAUAAAAGUUAAUGAUAAAACA